AAGGAUCAUUAGUGAAUAUAGGACGUCCAACUUAACUUGGAGUCCGAACUCUCACUUUCUAACCCUGUGCACUUGUUUGGGAUAGUAACUCUCGCAAGAGAGCGAACUCCUAUUCACUUAUAAACACAAAGUCUAUGAAUGUAUUAAAUUUUAUAACAAAAUAAAACUUUCAACAACGGAUCUCUUGGCUCUCGCAUCGAUGAAGAACGCAGCGAAAUGCGAUAAGUAAUGUGAAUUGCAGAAUUCAGUGAAUCAUCGAAUCUUUGAACGCACCUUGCGCUCCAUGGUAUUCCGUGGAGCAUGCCUGUUUGAGUGUCAUGAAUACUUCAACCCUCCUCUUUCUUAAUGAUUGAAGAGGUGUUUGGUUUCUGAGCGCUGCUGGCCUUUACGGUCUAGCUCGUUCGUAAUGCAUUAGCAUCCGCAAUCGAAUUUCGGAUUGACUUGGCGUAAUAGACUAUUCGCUGAGGAAUUCUAGUCUUCGGAUUAGAGCCGGGUUGGGUUAAAGGAAGCUUCUAAUCAGAAUGUCUACAUUUUAAGAUUAGAUCUCAAAUCAGGUAGGACUACCCGCUGAACUUAA
rnacentral:rRNA from 1 species